GCCUACGGGGGGCAGCAGUAGGGAAUAUUGCUCAAUGGGGGAAACCCUGAAGCAGCAACGCCGCGUGGAGGAUGAAGGUUUUCGGAUUGUAAACUCCUUUUGUUAGAGAAGAUAAUGACGGUAUCUAACGAAUAAGCACCGGCUAACUCCGUGCCAGCAGCCGCGGUAAUACGGAGGGUGCAAGCGUUACUCGGAAUCACUGGGCGUAAAGAGCGCGUAGGCGGGAUAGCAAGUCAGAUGUGAAAUCCUAUGGCUUAACACUAGAACUGCAUUUGAAACUGUUAUUCUAGAGUAUGGGAGAGGUA
rnacentral:rRNA from 1 species